CAGUCGCCGCGGUAAUACGUAGGUGGCGAGCGUUGUCCGGAAUUAUUGGGCGUAAAGGGAGCGCAGGCGGACAUAUAAGUCCAUCUUAAAAGUGCGGGGCUCAACCCCGUGAGGGGAUGGAAACUGUAUGCCUUGAGUGUAGGAGAGGAAAGCGGAAUUCCCAGUGUAGCGGUGAAAUGCGUAGAUAUUGGGAGGAACACCAGUGGCGAAGGCGGCUUUCUGGACUGCAACUGACGCUGAGGCUCGAAAGCCAGGGGAGCGAACGGGAUUAGAUACCCGUGUAGUCCCUGUCUCUUAUACA
rnacentral:rRNA from 1 species